UGUACAAUACCAGGAAUGUUAUUAUGCUCCCACUGACCCUUUUGUAUACAUAAGAUUCCUCUUCAUUCUCGAUGAAACCAAAUGAUUUGAUCGCAUUAUCAAAGCAAAGAUUCCAACUUUGAGAAGCUUGCUUUAACUGUAUAUGGACCUUUGCAGCUUGCGACUCUGUGAUUACCAUCACCAGAUGUGAAACCCAAAGGCUGCUCCAUAUAGAU
rnacentral:lncRNA from 1 species